GCUCACUCGAACUAGGUCUCGUAAACUACGAAAUUUAUAGAUAUGAUAGAUCUUUAUUAUCUAGCUCGUCGACCAGAGGAGGAGGUGUCUUAAUAGCAGUGAAUAAAAAAUGUAUCUCCUCACAAAUUGAUGUUGAUGUAAAAUCGCUAGAAUUAUGCUUUGUCUCUGUAAAAAUUAGUAACACUAAAAAUUUAAUCGUGGGUUGUAUCUACUUUCCGCCAAAUUCUCCUUCUUCUUUGUAUAAUGAAUAUUUCUCUAUUUUAGAUAACCUAAUUUCUUCUCGCCCAAAUGAUGAUCUUCUACUUUUCGUUGAUUUUAAUUUGCCAAAUUUAAAUAAAACAUCAUUAAACGCUAACUUAAAUCUAUCCUCUCCUGAAGCUAUUUUUUUAGAAAACCUAUCAUUUCUUAAUCUUUUUCAAAU